GACGAACGCGGCGGCGUGCUUAACACAUGCAAGUCGAACGGGCCUGCCUGGCUUUGGUGGGUGGGUGAGUGGCGAACGGGUGAGUAACACGUGAGUAACCUGCCCUCUUCUCUGGGAUAACUGCUUGAAAGGGCGGCUAAUACGGGAUGUUCUGGUUGCCUCGCAUGGGGUGGUUUGGAAAGAUUCGGCCUGGUUUUGGUUGUUUUGGUGGGGGAUGGGCUCGCGGCUUAUCAGCUUGUUGGUGGGGUGAUGGCCUACCAAGGCGGUGACGGGUAGCCGGCCUGAGAGGGUGGACGGUCACACUGGGACUGAGACACGGCCCAGACUCCUGCGGGAGGCAGCAGUGGGGGAUUUUGCACAAUGGGCGCAAGCCUGAUGCAGCGACGCCGCGUGAGGGAUGGAGGCCUUCGGGUUGUGAACCUCUGUCGCCGGUGAUGUAGGCUCUGCUUUGUGGGUGGGGUUGACG
rnacentral:rRNA from 1 species